UGGACCUGAAGAAAAACAAGCUAUGGACUAUCUUCUGUCUCAUGCUAGCAGUGGAAUAGGAAAAGGACUCAAAAGACUUCUACUGGCCAUAAUGAAGUACCUGUUACUAUAUUUGCUUUCCUACCAUAAGCAACUAUAAAACUGGACAAUAUAUAGGCAACUGAUCUCAUGCAUUUCAAGCAGCACAGGAUUCUGAUAAUUAACAGAAGGAAAGCACAUGAGCCAACUUUUAAUUUCAACAGAUAGAGUUGCCUCUUGUAGUCAUGAUAUUUCCUCUCCAGUAACAAAGGCUUGAGAAAUCAUAAGAACACUAAUAAUUAAUGCACUGUAGAUAAUACUGGAGGCUGCCAUGGGAGAAGUCUGCACAAAAAGAGCAAGUUUAAGAGCUUCAGGAGUCAUAAAUGGCUUGAGAAGAUUAUGCUAGAGAUUGAAGCAGAUGGAAGAUUCUAGAAACAGAAAGCAUUCUUUUCAUUGGUUCCCGAAGGCAAAAAUGAAUUGUACUCUUCUUAUACAUGUUGCUGCUUUCAAGAUUUCCAUUUUACACCAUUGAUGGGCCUUAGUUUUUGGGUUGUCUACAAAGUCAAGUUUCUCUUAUUUGGAAAACCUGAAUAUAGCCUUGCAGUACAAAGCACUGGUCAUGCUGUCCACUUUCAGAAGAUGGCAUGGAAUUCACAGCAACAAGAAAUGUUUUGGAAUGCUGGCAAAGGAGCAGAAAACAGUGUUCUCCCCACACAUUUAGAAAAAUAAAG
rnacentral:lncRNA from 1 species